rnacentral:tRNA from 1 species
CGGCCGUCGUGGCGAUGGCCGACCACGCCGCCUGCAGCGCGGCCACCACCCAGCCGUUGUUCGCGAACGACGACGGCCGCCC